AAGUCGUAACAAGGUUUCCGUAGGUGAACCUGCGGAAGGAUCAUUAUUGAAAUAAACCUGAUGGGUUGUUGCUGGUUCUCUAGGGAGCAUGUGCACGCCUUGUCAUCUUUAUAUCUCCACCUGUGCACCUUUUGUAGGCCUUCCAGGUCUAUGUUGCUUUUUCAUUUACCCCAAUGUAUGUUAAUAGAAUGUUGUGCCUAUAAAAUCUAUACAACUUUCAGCAACGGAUCUCUUGGCUCUCGCAUCGAUGAAGAACGCAGCGAAAUGCGAUAAGUAAUGUGAAUUGCAGAAUUCAGUGAAUCAUCGAAUCUUUGAACGCACCUUGCGCUCCUUGGUAUUCCGAGGAGCAUGCCUGUUUGAGUGUCAUUAAUAUAUAUCAACCUUCUCAUUUCUGAGUGGUUUGGAUGUGGGGGUUUGCUGGCCUCUUAAAUGAGUUCAGCUCCUCUGAAAUGCAUUAGCAGAACAACCCUGUUCAUUGGCGUGAUAACUAUCUACGCUAUUGAAUGUGAGGGAUGGUUCAGCUUUCUAACAGUCCUUGGACAACUUAUCAUUUAUGUGACCUCAAAUCAGGUAGGACUACCCGCUGAACUUAAGCAUAUCAAUAAGCGGAGGAAAAGAAACUAACAAGGAUUCCCCUAGUAACUGCGAGUGAAGCGGGAAAAGCUCAAAUUUAAAAUCUG
rnacentral:rRNA from 1 species